AAAAUGAAAUUGAAAUGAAAGAUAAUAAUAAAAUAUUGAAGAGAGAGAAGAAUAUAAAAAAUUUGGGGGAAUGGUUGGAGUAAGUUAUCCCUAAAAUGGGGAUUUCCCAUUUUGAGGACAAAAAAUGGGGGCAAGGUUGGAGAUGGCCUAAAGCAGUCAGUCCUUCCCCUUCCUUCUUCCCGAUAUAUCCUCACUCCUAGUGAUUAAGGGUAAAGGUCUUUUACCAAAGAAAAUAAGAAAAAGGGAAAAACUGUGAGAUGCCAAAGCUUCUUAACCCCACAAAAGGAUAAAUUAUUUUCAGCAAACCUGAGGAAGAAGGAGGCGACGGAGAAAUAGGAGGAGGUGGAGCAGCUGGAGGAAUAUCCAAUGGAUUAUUAGCAAAACUGA
rnacentral:lncRNA from 1 species